GCAUUAAUGGGGUAGUGGUAACCUGGGUCGUUGCCACGUGACUGCUCGAAAACUGCUCGACCCGCCGGGGGUUCGAUUCCCUCUUAAUGCA